GACAGAGGGGGCAAGCGUUGCUCGGAAUUACUGGGCGUAAAGGGCGCGUAGGCGGGAUGGCAAGUCGGUCGUGAAAUCCCUCGGCUCAACCGAGGAACGUCGAUCGAUACUGCUGUUCUUGAGGAUUGCAGAGGAGACUGGAAUUCCCGGUGUAGCGGUGGAAUGCGUAGAGAUCCGGAAGAACACCAGUGGCGAAGGCGGCCCGCUGGGCAGUGGCUGACGCUGAGGCGCGACAGCGUGGGGAGCAAACAGG
rnacentral:rRNA from 1 species